rnacentral:rRNA from 1 species
GAAGUUUUUCACCUGGAAUCUGGUCGGUGUAGAUUAAUUCGCAGAAUUCUUUGGGGUGCGCCUAGAGAGUUCGAACGGUUUAUAGAAAAUUAUCAUUCGGGGAACCUAUGGAUCCGGAGGAAUCCGACUGUUUAAUUAAAACAAAGCAAAAGAGGAUUGCUAUGCAAAGGUUUACACUCUUUGUGAUUUCUGCCCAGUGCUCUGAAUGUCAAAGUGAAGAGAUUCAAACAAGCACGGGGUUAACGGCGGGAGUAACUAUGACUCUCUUAAGGUAGCCAAAUGCCUCGUCAUUUAAUUUGUGACGCGCAUGAAUGGAUCAACGAGAUUCCUACUGUCCCUAUUUACUAUCUAGCGAACUUACAGCCAAGGGACGGCUUGGACGAUAGCGGGGAAGAAGACCCUGUGAGCUUG